GACGAACGCUGGCGGCGUGCUUAACACAUGCAAGUCGAACGAAGUGGCGAACGGGUGAGUAACGCGUAAUCAACCUGCUCUUCAGAGGGGGACAACAGUUGGAAACGACUGCUAAUACCGCAAAAUGAUGGAGGGGAUUGCGUCUGAUUAGCUAGUUGGGGGGGUAACGGCCCACCAAGGCGAUGAUCAGUAGCCGGUCUGAGAGGUUGAACGGCCACAUUGGGACUGAGACACGGCCCAGACUCCUACGGGAGGCAGAAGUGGGGAAUCUUCCGCAAUGGGCGAAAGUCUGACGGAGCAACGCCGCGUGAGUGAUAGCGGCCUUCGGGUUGUAAAGCUCUGUUAAUCGGGACGCGGUACCGGAAUAGAAAGCCACGGCUAACUACGUGCCAGCAGCCGCGGUAAUAC
rnacentral:rRNA from 1 species